rnacentral:lncRNA from 1 species
UCCUGCUUGUAAAUAUUAAUCUCAGAUGCUUUGAAGGAUUCAUUCCCAUGAGGAAAGAGUUCUUGUCAUCCAAAAAGAAGCCGGUCUUCAGGGCCAGAGCAGCAGAAGUACUGGUGUGGCAGUGUUGAAGUGAUAUCUAUUAUUCUCAUUGCCACUUCAUCUUGGAUUUGUGUCAUGAGUUUGAUAGAACUGCACUUGUGUUGAUUUGAGGGGGAAGGGAAUGAAGAAGGCUUUACUCCCACCAGUGGCUCCAAGCUUUAAUGAGUUUUGCCCUCCUUAAGAGCUGAUGUGGUUUGGGGUUUAGUUGUGGUUUCAGACCAGUCUGCAGUUUGUUCUUGUGCCUCUGAUACAAGUGCCUCAAUUCAAUGGUCAGUGAUGUAACUGCUGCUCACUAGAAAAAUGAAAUUUUAUCCUUAACUCUGCUUUGCUGUUAGACAGACAAAAGUGAAGCUCAAAAGUCCAACUCUGCACCCAACUCAAUAGAAAUGCAGUCCCUGCCAAAAUAGUAUUGCAGAUGGAUUUUCAAAACGAAAUGUAAAUGAAAAAGUUUUCCUACCCAGAAAGAAAGAAGAUAAAAUUAGGCAAUGUUUCUCCUCUCCCUGAAGAUGCUGUGUUUGUUAGUCCUUUGACAUUGGAAAUCAGUACUGAUAUUUCCUAAAUGUGAUCCACUUGCUAAUGAAGAGAACCUCUACAAUACAAAACAGUGGUUACUAGGUGUCAUAGAAAUGUGGCAGAUUUUUAGAGCUACCUGACUUCAUUCUCUUGAAGCACAUCAGCUUGUAUGUAGAAUCAUUGAGUCCCAGAGUGACUGACUGAGAGUUUGGGGGUCUGUGUUUGACAUUCACCACGUGCUUGGUGUAACAGUACAAGUGUGCUUUCUGGAAUAGAAACAUAUCAGAAUGUUCUCUUAGAGUACACUCCUAGAAAAAUAGUCUGAUUUUUCCGUUAGAAAAUACGUAGCCAUAGUCUCCUUGGACCAAUGCCAGCGCUACAAGGAUGACUUCAGUGCAGAGUAUGAGGAAUACCAAAAUUUAUAUACUCGGAUUGACAAGAUCAGAGAGCACUUCACACAGCUUCAGGAACAAUGGAAGUCUGUGACCGCAGGCUCUGAAGCCCAUCAGAUGCUGCUUCAUCGAAUCCUAGCAGAUUAUCAGCAGAUACAACAGGUAUGUUUGACACCAGAUCUGCAGAGCUUGGUUACUGCUGAGUCAGG